rnacentral:lncRNA from 1 species
AAAGUAGGAAGGAAGGGAAAUUCUGUCCUACUGAAUACCAGGAUUUUCUAAUUUAAUUUAGCCCUCUGUUUUCACAGAAGCAACCAGUUUCCAGCCAGAAAGAUGGGACAGCUCUCUGAGUCUUCUUUCAUUCAAGCUGGAUUGGGGAAGGGAAAAAGAAAUGUAAGAAAAUAAAAACUAGGAGCACUUGAAAGUUUAAAAAAGUGCAGAAAGUAACUUGUUAUUUAUAGACAUGUCAAUUUGCUGAUUUGAUCCUAGCUCAGGGAGCCUUUUAUAACUUCUUGCCCUUGACUGACUAACUGCUCAGUCUUCAGCUUUUGCAUUCCGGAGUGAGUGUGGAGGCAUUGAGGUCUGCAGGAAUAAAUGAGAGAAGUCCAUAUGCCUCCAGGACUGGAUGACUGAAACAGCUGCAUUUGAAAGAAACACAAAAGAAGAUACUAAAUCCUGUCAUAUCAACCUCAACAGAAUGGGAAUCCUCUCAAAAGAUCUCCUGUUUAUUCACAAACAUAUCCCAAUUAGCCAAUGGCAGAGAUUUGAUGUGAUUCACCCUGGCU